GACGAACCGUCCAAACGUUGUUCGGAAUCACUGGGCUUAAAGGGCGCGUAGGCGGACAUGCAAGUCCGGGGUGAAAGCCCCCAGCUUAACUGGGGAAGGGCCUUGGAAACUGCAUGUCUCGAGGGAGGUAGGGGUCUGUGGAACUUCGGGUGGAGCGGUGAAAUGCGUUGAUAUCCGAAGGAACGCCGGUGGCGAAAGCGACGGACUGGACCUCUUCUGACGCUGAGGCGCGAAAGCCAGGGGAGCAAACGGG
rnacentral:rRNA from 1 species